UUGCACGCUGGCGGCAUGCUUUACACAUGCCAGUCGAACGGUAACAGGCCUUCGGGUGCUGCCGAGUGGCGAACGGGUGAGUAAUGCAUCGGAAUGUACCCAGAGGUGGGGGAUAACGCAGCGAAAGCUGUGCUAAUACCGCAUGUGAUCUGAGGAUGAAAGCGGGGGACCGAGCAGCAAUGUUUGGCCUCGCGCCUUUGGAGCGGCCGAUGUCGGAUUAGCUAGUUGGUGGGGUAAAGGCCUACCAAGGCGACGAUCCGUAGCUGGUCUGAGGGGACGACCAGCCACACUGGGACUGAGACACGGCCCAGACUCCUACGGGAGGCAGCAGUGGGGAAUUUUGGACAAUGGGCGCAAGCCUGAUCCAGCAAUGCCGCGUGCGGGAAGAAGGCCUUCGGGUUGUAAACCGCUUUUGGCAGGAACGAAACGGUGUCCGCUAAUACCGGGCGCUAAUGACGGUACCUGCAGAAUAAGCACCGGCUAACUACGUG
rnacentral:rRNA from 1 species